ensembl:lncRNA
GAAUGAAGUGCAGAGAGGUGGUAAUUGCACUAGAGAUGCUGUUGUCAGGAGUAAACUGUGAGCGGAGUGGAUUUGUCAGGUUUGGUUGCUGUGGAUACACAACUCCAGCUCUCCCUCCUGUUUGCCUUCAUUGCUGCAAAUCAGAGCAGGAAGACAUGUUCUUAAAAGAGGCUUUAUUAUGGUCAUUUUGCAGAUGUUGGUCCUUUUUUAUUGUUUAGUUUUUUUUGUUAAUGACUGAAGAUGUAAGUGGUGUAUUUGAUCAGCAAGACACCGCAUGAAUUUAUAAUUUUUAAAGAUAAUUUGAUUUCAGUUGUAUAAUCUGUAGAACUACUUUGAAUGGUGAGAAUGUGACUUGGAGUGUAUUUGUGAUCUUGAUGAAGUUCCAAAUAGCCAUGAAAAUUGUCUAAAUUUGUACAAUUAAAUUUUGCCCCUAACCCUAACUCACAUAACCUCAAACUGAAAAUGUAGUUUGAUUUUCACUCCGCAAUACUUAUUUUUUACAGUUUGGUUUCUGUCACAGCAAAUGCUUCACCAAAUGAUUUUGCUUACAGAGAUGGUGUUUGUGUAUUCUAAAACCCUUGACUAAUCUAAGUAAACAUUAGCGUAGCAUCUUCUGUUUGUCUCCAGUCGGCCAUUGUUUUGUCUUCCACCUGGCUUCUACAGCUGUUUAUAUUGUUCAUACAUGUCCCAUGCCAUGUCCUGCCCACCUGGCACAGGGAUACGUUCUGCCCAAACAACAUGUAGCUGCUUCAGCUGCCACCUUUCCAUCCAUAGACAAUCUAUUGUGCUUUUAGUUAGUAAAUAAAUAUAUAUAUAUGUAUAUAAAAUAAAUCUAUUGCGCCGUUCUCGCCAAGCCCGUCUCCUCCUGCACCUGAUUCUUUUUGCAAGCUCAUUGCAACAUGCCAGAAUCAGACUGCUGCUGGAGACUAAUCGGUUUGAAAAGCCCUUAACUUGUAAUCGUGUGUCAUUACUGUUUAGCUUUUGUGUUAAGCUCGAGGCGACCAGUGAAUAAUGUGUCUUGUGUGAGAGAUGUGAAUAUUGAGAUUCCUGUGUGCAUGCAAGAGGCGAUGACAAAAGCUUAUUAAAACUAAUCACACUCGGGCGUGUGGUGUGUAUGAAUUGAUUAUUUCUGUGGCUGCGAAACGAGACGGUGAGCAUGUUGCCCCGGGGGACCACUCCACAUGAAUAUUUGCCUCUUCCCUGUGUAUUUAUGUAAAGGAGAGGCAAUAAGAGACGCAUUGUAACCAGAGGUAGCACAACUCUGUCAGUGUUUUAUUUGAAAUAUGAAUGCACCUGUUCAAAAUAUCCCCCUCUUUAUUUGCCUGUGCAUCUUCCUGUCAGUGCUCACCAUAUGGCUCUCAGCAGC